UGCUUUGGCCGUAUAGACAGAGAGAUAAUAUGUCUCCGGGCUUUGAAGAAAAACAGAUCUUCUCAUGGUGCCUGGGUGUUGGAUGUCUCCAUCAAAGUAAGGUUUGUAGCGUUCGUUAGAAUGAAAAUUGUAUGGUGUUCGAUUAGAUUAAAUCACGAAGAUGAUUUUAUGAUGGUUCAAUGAUAGAUUAUUUCCUCUCUUGUUGUUUACGUGGCGCCGCUUAGAGUGUUCCUGUGUUCUUCAGGGUUAAGUCUGUGCUAUUCGCAGUAUUAAAUUCGUCAUGUUUCUUGUUUUGAUAGAUUGUUUCGCUAUUGCAGGCAUCUGCAGGUUUGGCUCUCUAUUAAUGCUAGCCAUUGAUUGUGAUGUUGCUCAUUAUUUCCUUAUGUCUGUGCUAUUCACUUAAUAAGAAAUUGAUUAACUAAAAGUUGCGUAUUGUUGUAAUAAUCCACUUAUCUUCCCUAUUGCGCUGGAAGUGUUCAUAACUGUCACAAAACAGGCGUACGCCUCCCGUCUUCAACAAAUCAGUGCACAUAUUAUCAGAGCUGGUUGUUGGCUAGGAGCGUGCUAUGGGGUGAAGUUCUUUUUUUUUUACAUAUUUUCUGUGUUGAAUUCAUAAAACAAAGUAAGGUGUCUAGUGUCUCUUAGAACGAAAAUUGUAUGGUGUUCGAUUAGAUUAAGUCACGAGGAUGAUUUUAUGAUAGUUAAAAUGAUAGAUUAUUCUCCUCUGUGGUUUGGUUAAGAAUAUCUUCUUUGAUUAAAUGUGGUGUUAUAUAUUUUAUUUCCUCUUGUGUUCGUGUCGUUCUUGUCGUUCGUGUCCCAUGGUCUUCCAGGGUAUCUGAUGUUCACAAUUAAUUACAUACAUCUAUCAGAACUUGUAAUUAAAGCUCCAUUAUGGUGGACCAAUAUGGCCGCAGUAUUGUAUGUAUUAAUGAAAGUAGAAUAUGAUAAUAAAGGAGAUUCUCUUUCAGAUUAUUGGGGUCCACCGCCACAAUGCAUGUAUUAUUGGAAGUAGAAUAUUAAUUCAGAUUAUUGUUGCUAUAAUGGCAGUGUGUUGAUAUUAAAAUGUGUCUUUUUCCAGAUUAUCCGGUGUGGCCUCAGUACUGUAUGUAUUAUGGAAUGCGAAUGUAGUUUCAUAUUAUAAUAAGUUAUCUUUCAGGUCGUUGGUGCGGGGCACCGUAAGUGAACAAUUGGUGGUGAAGGUUUUUCGGCUGUGUUUUUCUCCUUCACCUGAUUGGCAUCGCAAUUGGCACUGCUAUUGGCAUUACAAUUCUCAGCACUAUUGGCAUUAAUAAAUAUAUUUCAACUUGUA